rnacentral:rRNA from 1 species
AGCGAACGCUGGCGGCGUGCUUAACACAUGCAAGUCGAGCGAAGGUGUUUCAAGGGUAACCUUGAGAUACACUUAGCGGCGGACGGGUGAGUAAUACGUGGAUAACUUACCUCUAGGCCUGGGAUAACCCCGGGAAACUGGGGGCUAAUACCUGAUAAGACCACAUUGUCUACGGACGAAAGGGGGUAAAAGGUGGCUGUGCAAACAGCUAUCGCCAAAAGAUAGGUUCACGUCCCAUCAGGCAGUUGGUGAGGUAAUGGCUCACCAAACCAAGACGGGUAGCCGG